AACGAACGCUGGCGGCAUGCCUAACACAUGCAAGUCGAACGAAGGCUUCGGCCUUAGUGGCGCACGGGUGCGUAACGCGUGGGAAUCUGCCCCUCGGUUCGGAAUAACAGUUAGAAAUGACUGCUAAUACCGGAUGAUGACUUCGGUCCAAAGAUUUAUCGCCGAGGGAUGAGCCCGCGUACGAUUAGGUAGUUGGUGGGGUAAAGGCCUACCAAGCCGACGAUCUUUAGCUGGUCUGAGAGGAUGAUCAGCCACACUGGGACUGAGACACGGCCCAGACUCCUACGGGAGGCAGCGGUGGGGAAUAUUGGACAAUGGGCGAAAGCCUGAUCCAGCAAUGCCGCGUGAUUGAUGAAGGCCUUAGGGUUGUAAAGCUCUUUUACCAGGGAUGAUAAUGACAGUACCGGGAGAAUAAGCUCCGGCUAACUCCGUGCCAGCCGCCGCCGUAA
rnacentral:rRNA from 1 species